ensembl:snRNA U6 U6 spliceosomal RNA
GUGCUCGUUUCAGCAGCACAUAUACUAAAAUUGGAACAAUACAGAGAAGAUUAGAAUGACCUCUGCACGAGAAUGACACACAAAUUCGUGAAGCAUUCCAUAUUUCU